rnacentral:rRNA from 1 species
AACGCUGGCGGCGUGCCUAAUACAUGCAAGUCGAGCGAACGGACGAGAAGCUUGCUUCUCUGAUGUUAGCGGCGGACGGGUGAGUAACACGUGGAUAACCUACCUAUAAGACUGGGAUAACUUCGGGAAACCGGAGCUAAUACCGGAUAAUAUUUUGAACCGCAUGGUUCAAAAGUGAAAGACGGUCUUGCUGUCACUUAUAGAUGGAUCCGCGCUGCAUUAGCUAGUUGGUAAGGUAACGGCUUACCAAGGCAACGAUGCAUAGCCGACCUGAGAGGGUGAUCGGCCACACUGGAACUGAGACACGGUCCAGACUCCUACGGGAGGCAGCAGUAGGGAAUCUUCCGCAAUGGGCGAAAGCCUGACGGAGCAACGCCGCGUGAGUGAUGAAGGUCUUCGGAUCGUAAAACUCUGUUAUUAGGGAAGAACAUAUGUGUAAGUAACUGUGCACAUCUUGACGGUACCUAAUCAGAAAGCCACGGCUAACUACGUGCCAGCAGCCGCGGUAAUACGUAGGUGGCAAGCGUUAUCCGGAAUUAUUGGGCGUAAGGCGCGCGUAGGCGGUUUUUUAAGUCUGAUGUGAAAGCCCACGGCUCAACCGUGGAGGGUCAUUGGAAACUGGAAAACUUGAGUGCAGAAGAGGAAAGUGGAAUUCCAUGUGUAGCGGUGAAAUGCGCAGAGAUAUGGAGGAACACCAGUGGCGAAGGCGACUUUCUGGUCUGUAACUGACGCUGAUGUGCGAAAGCGUGGGGAUCAAACAGGAUUAGAUACCCUGGUAGUCCACGCCGUAAACGAUGAGAGCUAGGUGUUAGGGGGUUUCCGCCCCUUAGUGCUGCAGCUAACGCAUUAAGCACUCCGCCUGGGGAGUACGAC